CAGCAUUGUCUUUCCUUUCUAGACAGAAUGGCAUUAAAAUCACCUGCAAUGAUCCAGGGCUCAGUAAUACCAACAGAUAAAUUCAGAAUAGACUUCCACAGCAUCCUCCUCUGAUCACAGUCAUUAAAACCAUAUACUACUGUAAGCCAGCAGAUAGUAUCACCAAUGAUAGUUUGAACCUUACAAUGAAUGAGCUGAGCUUCCUCAAGAAAUCCAGUGACCAACACUUUUGUAGGGUCCCAUAGGAUCCAUAUUCUACCAUUUACUGCUCCACUGUAGUUAGUAAUCAUGUUCCAGUUAGGCAACAAAAAACUAUAUUCUACCAUUUACUGCUCCACUGUAGUUAGUAAUCAUUUUCCAGUUAGGCAACAAAAAACUAGCUAUUCUACCAUCAUUGUGUUGUUUAACCUUAGUCUCUACAAGUCCUACUAGGUCAAACUUAUUAGUUCUAAAGAAAUUUCUAGCUUCUUUUUGUUUGAACCUUUUAUUUACAC
rnacentral:lncRNA from 1 species